UGGGGAAUAUUGCGCAAUGGGGGCAACCCUGACGCAGCCAUGCCGCGUGUGUGAAGAAGGCUUUCGGGUUGUAAAGCCCUUUCAGCGGGGAAGAUGAUGACAUUAUCCGCAGAAGAAGCGCCGGCUAACUCCGUGCCAGCAGCCGCGGUAAGACGGAGGGCGCUAGCGUUGUUCGGAAUCACUGGGCGUAAAGGGCGCGUAGGCGGCUGCUUAAGUCGAGGGUGAAAGCCCGGGGCUCAACCUCGGAACGGCCUUCGAGACUGGGCGGCUAGAGAUCGGAAGAGGAGGGUGGAAUACCCAGUGUAGAGGUGAAAUUCGUAGAUAUUGGGUGGAACACCAGUGGCGAAAGCGGCUCUCUGGUCCGGAUCUGACGCUGAGGCGCGAAAGCGUGGGGAGCAAACAGGAUUAGAUACCCCCGUAGUCC
rnacentral:rRNA from 1 species